GGUUUUGGGGCUGGGGGGUGUUAUAACAGCCCCCCCCCAUCAGUUCUGUCCCUGUCGGAGCUGUCGGGACCGUCGCGACUCAUCGUCCCAUUUGUGGCCUGUGGGGAUCUGAGCGCGUACGACCCUGAUAGGACCUACCCACUGCAGGUUGGGCACUGGGAGGGACUGGGAUAGACUGGGAUAUAAUGGGAUAUACUGGGAUAUAAUGGGAUAUAC
rnacentral:lncRNA from 1 species